rnacentral:rRNA from 1 species
UGGGGAAUUUUGGACAAUGGGCGAAAGCCUGAUCCAGCAAUGCCGCGUGUGUGAAGAAGGCCUUCGGGUUGUAAAGCACUUUUGUCCGGAAAGAAAUCCUUGGCUCUAAUACAGUCGGGGGAUGACGGUACCGGAAGAAUAAGCACCGGCUAACUACGUGCCAGCAGCCGCGGUAAUACGUAGGGUGCAAGCGUUAAUCGGAAUUACUGGGCGUAAAGCGUGCGCAGGCGGUUUGCUAAGACCGAUGUGAAAUCCCCGGGCUCAACCUGGGAACUGCAUUGGUGACUGGCAGGCUAGAGUAUGGCAGAGGGGGGUAGAAUUCCACGUGUAGCAGUGAAAUGCGUAGAGAUGUGGAGGAAUACCGAUGGCGAAGGCAGCCCCCUGGGCCAAUACUGACGCUCAUGCACGAAAGCGUGGGGAGCAAACAGGAUUAGAUACCCUGGUAGUCCACGCCCUAAACGAUGUCAACUAGUUGUUGGGGAUUCAUUCCUUAGUAACGUAGCUAACGCAUGAAGUUGACCGCCUGGGGAGUACGGUCGCAAGAUUAAAACUCAAAUGAAUUGACGGGGU